GGGACUUUGGGGAGGAAAAAAAAAAAAAAGAACAUAUUUAGAAACAAAAAUAAAAGUUACAAAUGCUUUAAAAAAAAAAACCCACUGCAAGAGAUGGACUUCCAAUGUGACGGCAUCAGGCACUCCACAGACCCACUCUCCAGUGAAAGUGGAGAAAAGUCUAACAAGACAACCAUUUAAAUAUCUGGAGAUGGUCCGAAGGGCAUGCAGCAAAUGAAGAAAUAUCUAUUCAAGAAAAUCUACUAAAAUUUGAUAAGAGUCUGUGGUAUUUGAGCCAAGGCUGCUUCCUCUCUCCUUACUCCCAGCUCACCGAGAAAAAAGUCCACUCCAGACUGCAGCCAAGAGCACAGGGCUCACUCUCCCCUCAGCUCCCCGUGAGGGGCUUUCUUCCGGGGAGGAGCCGGACAUCAGCAUUUCUCAUGCUGCCCCAGCUACCUGUGGCUGAGGCUGAGUUCCGGGCAAGUAUGGCCAAGAGGUGGGGACUCCUGUUCCGCAGUGGAGGCUCUCUCACGGCAUGAUGUCACAAUCAUGCCUGACCUGAGUUAGAAAGUGCUGGUUUCACACCAGGAGAGGCAAGCUGAGAAGACCUGAGGCUAAUUCCUCCCUUCCACCACAUGCUCAACUCCUAAACAGGGCUAUCACUCUGAAAGAAGCACACCAUUGUCCCCAGCCCAGCUCCAGAGCCCUGGCUGGGGGAUUUUGCCCGGGACAGAAGCAGGCUGUAAAACAGAUAGGUCCUAAACUCUUUCCAAAGGAACUGACUAUCUGCAACAGAGGGUGGAGAAGUUCAAGCCUAAGGCUGCUCUCAAAAACUGGAGUUUGUGAAAGGGAACUUGGAGGAGGUUGGUAGAGCCGGCGAAGAUGCAGUCUAAAGUGUAAACCGGCUAGUUUGCAGGGGAGAACCAGGGAAAGAGUCAGCUGGGAGGAGCCCUCCUGAGGUCAGAAUACUACAGGGGCUACUCCUUCAAAGGAGCCUAAGCCUGUAGAGCCAUUGAUGCCCCUGAGCCUUGCUGUAAACAAUAGAGCGAUCAGCUGGCAAUUAAUGGAGCUUAAUAGCUGGAUGUGGUCAGGGAAAGAGAUGAAGGGCGCCUAGCCCAAAUCAUUGCCAUCCCAGGGCGUCUGUGGGCAUACCCUGAACUACGCUCCCUGCAGAGCAACACCAGGGGGUUAACACUUCAAGUGAGCGGAGGGAAGGCUUCACCAAAAUAAGCCAGCCAGUCACCAAACAUACAAGCAAAUAACAAGCCUGGGGCAGUGGGGGGCAGAGGAGGGGGGUGCCGUGAACCAGGACCAAGAGUUGCUACAAUACAUUAUCUAAAGUGUCCAGUUUCCAAGAAAAAUUUAUGAGACAAGCAAAGAAGCAGGAAAGCCCGACUCUUAGACUGGAAAAUGGAGUCAGCAGGAACUGCCCUGUGCCAGUGGCCGUAUGUCGGAUAUAACAAAGCCUAAAAGCAGCCCUGAGGAGGACACUGUCAAAUUCAAAUACAGAGGCAGACACAGCAGAAUUAGUGCUGGAAAGCAUCUGCUCCACCGGGAAUGAUGAAGGCCCCUGGUGGCCUCGGUGGGGACAGUUUCAGUGGUGCAGUAGGAGAAGAAACCAGACGAAGAGAGAAAUGGAGACAGCACAGACUUCCCCUACCAAGAACUCGGAUGAAAAGAAAAGAGAGUAGCUAAGAAAGUGCCUGCUGUGGCCCAGGUUCCUCACCAGGUCAGGGAACCACACCACCUGUCUGGGGGUCAUCAUACUGUGGCAGCUGUGUGUUGCUGUGAUGCUGAAAGCUAUGCCACCACUAUCUCAAAUACCACCAGGGUCACCCAUGGUGGACAGGUUUCAGCAGAGCUUCCCACCUCUGGAAAAGUUGGUCAUGAAAACCCUAUGAACAGCACCAGAGCAUCGUCUGACAGAGUGCUGGAAGGAGUCUCGUGUCUCCCGCCAGCAUCCAUAAAGCUGCACCAGGCUGACCGGUUAGUUUGCACCCUGGGUAAAUCUCAGACCCUUCGCAGUUCCUGACAGGAGACAACUUUGUAGUCAGGGGCCUGGGAAGCUGAAGCUCCCCUCUCAGAGGUAUGGCAGUGAGAAGAGGAGUCUUGAGGAAAGAGGUGAUGUUCUGGAAUCAUUGUUGGCGGGAUGGAAGCAGGAGCUCAGCAAGGACAAGGAAAAGGCUGGUGUAGAGAGCCCAGCUGAAGCUGACCGUGUGGUGGUAUCCUUCUGCUCUGGAAUGAGAGACUGGCCAGCACAGCUCUCAGCCAGGCCAGGGAGUGGGCAGCAUGGAGGAGGGGAUGCUGCACAGGCAGCUCAGAGCGUGAAUCCGGGUCUGAGCUCUGCUGGGCCGAAAGCCAGGAACACAAGAGAAUCUGGGUUAUGAUGAGAGAGUAGCUCAGAUUAUGACCAUAGGGUCCUGCCUGGAUAGGAAAGAAAGCUGUGGGGAGAGGGCUGAGACACUGGGAAGCAAUGGAGGGGUGGAGAGAGGAGGCCUCGUGAGGCUGCAGACUAGGAACAGAGCUUUGGGGAGGAAGCUUUGGUCUAAACAGGGUGUUGCCCCUGAAGGCACUGGAGGU
rnacentral:lncRNA from 1 species